rnacentral:lncRNA from 1 species
GUCUCUACAGUGACUUCUGGUGCUUGAAAAGAUUCAAGUAUGGUAUAAACCUCUCUUGAAUGAAUUUCAACAAUCUUAUCAUUAUCCCCUAACCCAAUAGAUGUAAUCAAUUCCAAUGAAUCUUCCAGUCCAUUUUCUUCAUAAACACCUAAAAUCCCCUCAUCAUCUUGCAAUGUACCUAACUUGCGUAAUUCUCCUUCAAUAUUAUAUAAUCUUUUUCUUUCUUUUCUUUUAAAAUCAUCAACUUUCUUACACAUAAUAUUUCCAUUCUCCAAUAUACCAAUAAAACUCGCAUCAAA